rnacentral:rRNA from 1 species
ACUCAAAUGAAUUGACGGGGACCCGCACAAGCGGUGGAUGAUGUGGAUUAAUUCGAUGCAACGCGAAAAACCUUACCUACCCUUGACAUGGUUCGAAUCUUUCAGAGAUGAGAGAGUGCUCGCAAGAGAACGGAUACACAGGUGCUGCAUGGCUGUCGUCAGCUCGUGUCGUGAGAUGUUGGGUUAAGUCCCGCAACGAGCGCAACCCUUGUCGGUAAUUGCCAUCAUUAAGUUGGGCACUUUACUGAGACUGCCGGUGACAAACCGGAGGAAGGUGGGGAUGACGUCAAGUCCUCAUGGCCCUUAUGGGUAGGGCUUCACACGUCAUACAAUGGUGCAUACAGAGGGUUGCCAAGCCGCGAGGUGGAGCUAAUCUCAGAAAGUGCAUCGUAGUCCGGAUUGUAGUCUGCAACUCGACUGCAUGAAGUUGGAAUCGCUAGUAAUCGCGGAUCAGCAUGUCGCGGUGAAUACGUUCCCGGGUCUUGUACACACCGCCCGU